GGGCCCGCACAAGCGGUGGAGCAUGUGGUUUAAUUCGAUGCAACGCGAAGAACCUUACCUGCCCUUGACAUCCUCGGAAGGGACCGGAAACGGACCUGUGCCUUCGGGAACCGAGAGACAGGUGCUGCAUGGCUGUCGUCAGCUCGUGUCGUGAGAUGUUGGGUUAAGUCCCGUAACGAGCGCAACCCCUAUCCUUAGUUGCCAUCAGUUCGGCUGGGAACUCUAGGGAGACUGCCGGUGACAAACCGGAGGAGGGUGGGGACGACGUCAAGUCAUCAUGGCCCUUAUGGGCAGGGCUACACACGUGCUACAAUGGCCGGUACAAAGGGCAGCGAAGCCGCAAGGUGGAGCGAAUCUCACAAAACCGGUCGUAGUCCGGAUUGCAGUCUGCAACUCGACUGCAUGAAGCUGGAAUCGCUAGUAAUCGCAGGUC
rnacentral:rRNA from 1 species